rnacentral:tRNA from 1 species
GGGUGGGGAGCUCAGUGGUAGAGUGUGUGCUUAGCAUGCACAAGAUCCUGGGUUCAGUCGCCAGCACCUCCA